rnacentral:rRNA from 1 species
AUUGAACGCUGGCGGCAGGCCUAACACAUGCAAGUCGAACGGCAGCACAGAAGAGCUUGCUCUUUGGGUGGCGAGUGGCGGACGGGUGAGUAAUGUCUGGGAAACUGCCCGAUGGAGGGGGAUAACUACUGGAAACGGUAGCUAAUACCGCAUAACGUCGCGAGACCAAAGGGGGGGACCUUCGGGCCUCACACCAUCGGAUGGGCCCAGAUGGGAUUAGCUAGUAGGUGGGGUAAUGGCUCACCUAGGCGACGAUCCCUAGCUGGUCUGAGAGGAUGACCAGCCACACUGGAACUGAGACACGGUCCAGACUCCUACGGGAGGCAGCAGUGGGGAAUAUUGCACAAUGGGCGCAAGCCUGAUGCAGCCAUGCCGCGUGUAUGAAGAAGGCCUUCGGGUUGUAAAGUACUUUCAGCGGGGAGGAAGGCGGUGAGGUUAAUAACCUCGCCGAUUGACGUUACCCGCAGAAGAAGCACCGGCUAACUCCGUGCCAGCAGCCGCCGUAA